UUACUCUGGCUUUGCCGAGAUGGGGCUGCCCCAGCCAGGGCUGUGGCUGAAGAGGCUCUGGGUGCUCUUGGAGGUGGCUGUGCAUGUGGUCGUGGGUAAAGUGCUUCUGAUAUUGUUUCCAGACAGAGUCAAGCGGAACAUCCUGGCCAUGGGUGAGAAGACGGGUAUGACCAGGAACCCCCAUUUCAGCCACGACAACUGGAUACCAACCUUUUUCAGCACCCAGUAUUUCUGGUUCGUCUUGAAGGUCCGUUGGCAGCGACUAGAGGACACGACUGAGCUAGGGGGUCUGGCCCCAAACUGCCCGGUGGUCCACCUCUCAGGACAGAGGUGCAACAUUUGGGAGUUUAUGCAAGGUAAUAGGCCACUGGUGCUGAAUUUUGGAAGUUGUACCUGACCUUCAUUUAUGUUCAAAUUUGACCAGUUCAAGAGGCUUAUUGAAGACUUUAGUUCCAUAGCAGAUUUUCUUGUCAUUUACAUUGAAGAAGCACAUGCAUCAGGUACAGAAAGAUUCUCUGCCUCUUCUACCUCUUCCCACUCUCUUU
rnacentral:sRNA from 1 species